rnacentral:rRNA from 1 species
CAGUCGCCGCGGUAACACAGAGGUCCCGAGCGUUGUUCGGAUUCAUUGGGCGUAAAGGGUGUGUAGGAGGCCAGGUAAGUCAGGUGUGAAAUCUCAGAGCUUAACUCUGAAACUGCGCUUGAUACUGCUUGGCUAGAGGAUCGGAGGGGGUAACGGAAUUUAUGGUGUAGCAGUGAAAUGCGUAGAUAUCAUAAGGAACACCGGUGGCGAAGGCGGUUACCUGGAAGAUUCCUGACUCUGAAACACGAAAGCCAGGGGAGCAAACGGGAUUAGAGACCCGAGUAGUCCCUGUCUCUUAUAC